rnacentral:rRNA from 1 species
GGAUGAGAUCAUACCAGCACUAAAGCACCGUAUCCCAUCAGAACUCCGAAGUUAAGCGUGCAUGGGCGAGAGUAGUACUAGGAUGGGUGACCUCCUGGGAAGUCCUCGUGUUGCAUUCC